rnacentral:sRNA from 1 species
AGGCUUUUCAUUGCAACAAACCCGGCCGCCUAGGCCUUUUCCAGACCAUUCAUCCUUAUCGCUUUUGGUCUAGCUGUAAUCAGAGCGGUGCGCAGCUUGACUACCGAAAUUGACUAACAAAAGUUUCCGUCCUUGCGCUGAAUAAUCGAUCAAGCCGUAUCCUCUCUCCGACCCAGGCCACCUUUCCGUCUUUGCCUUGCAAGCAUGUAUAUAAUUCUGGGGCCACUUCCUUGCCUCGUCCUAGCAGGGGCUAUCACUCCCACACGGCGCAACACUUGUAAAUCCUAACUCGUCUUUCUUGACAUUCUUAUGCCUCUCAAAAUACCACCACAAACGCCUCAUCCCCAGCUUGUACUGCUCAUUUGUCAUCCCAUGGGAAAACCCGAGCAAAGCAAUUGGUAGGCACACGUCGAGCAGGGAUGCAUUAGACGCUUUAUCCAGUUUAUAAAGUCCAUAUACCAAGCAAAUAACUCACAAACACGAAACUAUAGGGCAGUCCGUCAUAUCACCCUGCCCAUCUUGACAUGCAUCACCGGAACCUCUUUUCCCGUCGUCCCCCUCUUCUCAAACUGGACCGGAUCCAGUAUCUCCAUCCCACACAUCCCAUAAAACCUCGUCUGAUUCGAUCGCGCAUCAAAAUGGAAAAGCA